rnacentral:rRNA from 1 species
UACAGAGGGGGCAAGCGUUGUUCGGAAUUACUGGGCGUAAAGGGCGCGUAGGCGGCCUGUUAAGUCGAACGUGAAAUCCCCGGGCUCAACCCGGGAACUGCGCCCGAUACUGGCAGGCUUGAAUCCGGGAGAGGGAUGCGGAAUUCCAGGUGUAGCGGUGAAAUGCGUAGAUAUCUGGAGGAACACCGGUGGCGAAGGCGGCAUCCUGGACCGGCAUUGACGCUGAGGCGCGAAAGCCAGGGGAGCAAACGGG